GGCGGUGUUUGGCACCUCGAUGUCGGCUCAUCACAUCCUGGGGCUGAAGUAGGUCCCAAGGGUAUGGCUGUUCGCCAUUUAAAGUGGUACGCGAGCUGGGUUUAGAACGUCGUGAGACAGUUCGGUCCCUAUCUGCCGUGGGCGCUGGAGAACUGAGGGGGGCUGCUCCUAGUACGAGAGGACCGGAGUGGACGCAUCACUGGUGUUCGGGUUGUCAUGCCAAUGGCACUGCCCGGUAGCUAAAUGCGGAAGAGAUAAGUGCUGAAAGCAUCUAAGCACGAAACUUGCCCCGAGAUGAGUUCUCCCUGACCCUUUAAGGGUCCUGAAGGAACGUUGAAGACGACGACGUUGAUAGGCCGGGUGUGUAAGCGCAGCGAUGCGUUGAGCUAACCGGUACUAAUGAACCGUGAGGCUUAACCUUACAACGCCGAAGGUGUUU
rnacentral:rRNA from 1 species